AAACGAUGGUAGCCAUGCUUCUGGGAUCCUUAUUUUAAUUCUUUUAAACUUUUGAGUGCAUGUUUUCUUCCUUUACCGUGGAGCACUAUAUUUAGAGAAACUUGGCAAGCACGUUCAUGGCUUAGCUCAUGCUGCCUCUGGAUAUCAUAGAGUAUUUGAAGAAAAUCGCAAACUAUACAAUCAAGUCUAGGAUCUUAAGGGAAGUAUUAGAGUGUACUGUCGGUAAGACCCUUUUUAUCAACACAGCAAAUUUAUUCGAGCACAGUGGAUAAUAUAGAAGAUGGAUCUAUCACAAUUAGGAUCAUUAUGUUAGAUUACUUAACUCGGGGACCACACCAAACAAGUGAAAAUUUCCCACAGCUUGCACAACUGUUAUUGUCAUCUACAAGCAAUACACACAUUGAAUCACUGGCAGAAAAUCCCUUAGUCAAGAAGGUCGCUAUC